GAGUUUGAUCCUGGCUCAGGAUGAACGCUGGCGGCGUGCUUAACACAUGCAAGUCGAACGGGAAGCGGUGCAUAUUUGCUUAGGUGAAUUUUGUGCCGUGGAGAGUGGCGAACGGGUGCGUAACACGUAGGUAACCUGCCCCGAAAGGGGGAUAACCACGGGAAACUGUGGCUAAUACCGCAUGAUCUCGCCGGGACGAGGGUUCGGUGAGGAAAGCUGAGGCGAUUUGGGAGGGGCCUGCGGUCGAUUAGCUGGUUGGUGGGGUAAAGGCCUACCAAGGCGAUGAUCGAUAGCUGUUCUGAGAGGAAGACCAGCCACACGGGAACUGAGACACGGUUCCGACUCCUACGGGGGGCAGCAGUGAGGAAUAUUGCGCAAUGGGGGAAACCCUGACGCAGCAACGCCGCGUGGAGGAUGAAGGUUUUCGGAUUGUAAACUCCUUAACUGGGGGAAGAGGAAGGACGGUACCCCAGGACGAAGACACGGCUAACUAGGUGCCAGCAGCCGCGGUAAUACCUAGGUGUCAAGCGUUAUCCGGAACUACUGGGCGUAAAGGGUGCGCAGGCGGCGAUACAAGUCUGGCGUGAAAGCUCCUGGCUUAACUGGGAGAGGACGUCGGAAACUGUAUGGCUAGAGUGAAUGARAAGGGGGCGGAAAUCCCG
rnacentral:rRNA from 1 species